rnacentral:rRNA from 1 species
UACGAAGGGGGCUAGCGUUGCUCGGAAUUACUGGGCGUAAAGGGCGCGUAGGCGGCGGUGUCAGUCAGGCGUGAAAUUCCUGGGCUCAACCUGGGGGCUGCGCUUGAUACGGCAACGCUAGAGGACGGAAGAGGCUCGUGGAAUUCCCAGUGUAGAGGUGAAAUUCGUAGAUAUUGGGAAGAACACCGGUGGCGAAGGCGGCGAGCUGGUCCGUAUCUGACGCUGAGGCGCGACAGCGUGGGGAGCAAACAGG